rnacentral:rRNA from 1 species
GUGAGGAAUAUUGGGCAAUGGAGGCAACUCUGACCCAGCCAUGCCGCGUGCAGGAUGACGGCCCUCUGGGUUGUAAACUGCUUUUAUACGGGAAGAAAAAAUACUACGUGUAGUAUACUGACGGUACCGUAAGAAUAAGGAUCGGCUAACUCCGUGCCAGCAGCCGCGGUAAUACGGAGGAUCCAAGCGUUGUCCGGAUUUAUUGGGUUUAAAGGGUGCGUAGGCGGAUCUUUAAGUCAGUGGUGAAAGCCUGCAGCUUAACUGUAGAAUUGCCAUUGAAACUGAAGAUCUUGAAUGUGGUUAAAGUAGGCGGAAUGUAUCAUGUAGCGGUGAAAUGCUUAGAUAUGAUACAGAACACCGAUAGCGAAGGCAGCUUGCUGAACCAUUAUUGACGCUGAGGCACGAAAGCGUGGGGAGCGAACAGGAUUAGAAACCCCAGUAGUCC